rnacentral:rRNA from 1 species
AGAGUUUGAUCCUGGCUCAGGAUGAACGCUAGCGGCAGGCCUAAUACAUGCAAGUCGAACGGAAGUAGCAAUACUUUAGUGGCGCACGGGUGCGUAACGCGUAUGCAACCUCCUUUCAGAGGGGGAUAGCCCGGGGAAACCCGGAUUAAUACCGCAUAAGAUAGUUGAAUGGCAUCAUUUAAUUAUGAAACAUUUAUGGCUGAAAGAUGGGCAUGCGUAAGAUUAGCUAGUUGGUGAGGUAGAGGCUCACCAAGGCGAUGAUCUUUAGGGGUUCUGAGAGGAAGAUCCCCCACACUGGUACUGAGAUACGGACCAGACUCCUACGGGAGGCAGCAGUAGGGAAUAUUGGGCAAUGCUCGCAAGAGUGACCCAGCCAUGCCGCGUGCAGGAAGAAGGCCUUCUGGGUUGUAAACUGCUUUUGGAAGGGAACAAAAUGACACUGCGGUGUAACUUGAGUGUACCUUCAGAAUAAGCACCGGCUACUCCGUGCCAGCAGCCGCGGUAAUACGGAGGGUGCAAGCGUUGUCCGGAUUUAUUGGGUUUAAAGGGUGCGUAGGCGGCUUAUUAAGUCAGGGGUGAAAGACUGCAGCUCAACUGUAGCAGUGCCUUUGAUACUGAUGAGCUUGAGUACAGAUGAGGCAGGCGGAAUGGGUGGUGUAGCGGUGAAAUGCAUAGAUACCAUCCAGAACACCGAUUGCGAAGGCAGCCUGCUAAACUGUAACUGACGCUGAGGCACGAAAGCGUGGGGAUCGAACAGGAUUAGAUACCCUAGUAGUCC